UACAGAGGUCUCAAGCGUUGUUCGGAUUCAUUGGGCGUAAAGGGUGCGUAGGUGGCGAGGCAAGUCAGAUGUGAAAUCCCGGGGCUCAACCCCGGAACUGCAUUUGAAGCUGCCUUGCUCGAGUACUGGAGAGGAGACUGGAAUUUACGGUGUAGCAGUGAAAUGCGUAGAUAUCGUAAGGAAGACCAGUGGCGAAGGCGAGUCUCUGGACAGUUACUGACACUGAGGCACGAAGGCCAGGGGAGCAAACGGG
rnacentral:rRNA from 1 species